rnacentral:rRNA from 1 species
GGCCAGACUCCUACGGGAGGCAGCAGUGGGGGAUAUUGCACAAUGGGGGAAACCCUGAUGCAGCGACGCCGCGUGGGUGAAGAAGCGCCUCGGCGCGUAAAGCCCUGUCAGCAGGGAAGAAAAUGACGGUACCUGAAGGAGAAGCCCCGGCUAACUACGUGCCAGCAGCCGCGGUAAUACGUAGGGGGCAAGCGUUAUCCGGAUUUACUGGGUGUAAAGGGGGCGCAGACGGCGAUGCAAGCCAGGAGUGAAAGCCCGGGGCCCAACCCCGGGACUGCUCUUGGAACUGCGUGGCUGGAGUGCAGGAGGGGCAGGCGGAAUUCCUGGUGUAGCGGUGAAAUGCUUAGAUAUCAGGAGGAACAUCGGUGGCGUAAGCGCUUUACUGGGCCGUAAUUGACGCUGAGGAACGAAAGCCAGGGUAGCAAAUGGGAUUAGAUACCCUGGUA